rnacentral:rRNA from 1 species
UCGAGCGAACAGAGAAAGGAGCUUGCUCCUUUGACGUUAGCGGCGGACGGGUGAGUAACACGUGGGCAACCUACCUUAUAGUUUGGGAUAACUCCGGGAAACCGGGGCUAAUACCGAAUAAUCUGUUUCACCUCAUGGUGAAAUAUUGAAAGACGGUUUCGGCUGUCGCUAUAGGAUGGGCCCGCGGCGCAUUAGCUAGUUGGUGAGGUAACGGCUCACCAAGGCGACGAUGCGUAGCCGACCUGAGAGGGUGAUCGGCCACACUGGGACUGAGACACGGCCCAGACUCCUACGGGAGGCAGCAGUAGGGAAUCUUCCACAAUGGGCGAAAGCCUGAUGGAGCAACGCCGCGUGAGUGAAGAAGGAUUUCGGUUCGUAAAACUCUGUUGUAAGGGAAGAACAAGUACAGUAGUAACUGGCUGUACCUUGACGGUACCUUAUUAGAGAGCCACGGCUAACUACGUGCCAGCAGCCGCGGUAAUACGUAGGUGGCAAGCGUUGUCCGGAAUUAUUGGGCGUAAAGCGCGCGCAGGUGGUUUCUUAAGUCUGAUGUGAAAGCCCACGGCUCAACCGUGGAGGGUCAUUGGAAACUGGGAGACUUGAGUGCAGAAGAGGAUAGUGGAAUUCCAAGUGUAGCGGUGAAAUGCGUAGAGAUUUGGAGGAACACCAUUGGCAAAGGCGACUAUCUGGUCUGUAACUGACACUGAGGCGCGAAAGCGUGGGGAGCAAACAGGAUUACAUACGCUGGUAGUCCACGCCGUAAACGAUGAGUGCUAAGUGUUAGGGGGUUUCCGCCCCUUAGUGCUGCAGCUAACGCAUUAAGCACUCCGCCUGCGGAGU